rnacentral:rRNA from 1 species
ACUCCUACGGGAGGCAGCAGUGGGGAUAUUGCACAAUGGGGAAACCCUGAUGCAGCCAUGCCGCGUGUGUGAAGAAGGCCUUCGGUUGUAAAGCACUUUCAGUAGGGAGGAAGGUAGUGUAGUUAACACCUGCAUUAUUUGACGUUACCUACAGAAGAAGCACCGGCUAACUCCGUGCCAGCAGCCGCGGUAAUACGGAGGGUGCGAGCGUUAAUCGGAAUUACUGGGCGUAAAGCGCAUGCAGGCGGCCUGUUAAGUCAGAUGUGAAAGCCCGGGGCUUAACCUCGGAAUUGCAUUUGAAACUGGCAGGCUAGAGUCUUGUAGAGGGGGGUAGAAUUUCAGGUGUAGCGGUGAAAUGCGUAGAGAUCUGAAGG